CCAAAGCCGAGCAUCUCCUGACAGUGCUGUGGGAACUGUACUUCAACCUGUGAGCCACGCUCCUCUCUGUUCGGAAUCACGGCAAGGAGAUGCCUAACCCUCCCCGCUCUCCCUGAGCCAGCCAGAAUGACAGGAAAAUGCACCAUCUGACUUCACUGGAGCAUUUUCUGGGCUCAUCUUCCUGUGAUUAGAGUAUUGCAAUAAUCCAAUUGUUCACAAUAAGUGGCUUUUAUUGAUUUUGCAGAUUAGAGCUAGAAGAUUGCUCAGAACGACAAACUGCAGAAGGGAGUGUGAUAUUCAGGUGUCUGUGUCUUCACCCAAGCUUAUCAGCCAGUCAGUGUCUGUCUGCAUUCACUUGUGUUUGAGAGGGCCACUGCUGUGGGGUCUCUGCAGGCUCGGUCUGGGGGGUUUCUGUCUGGGAGUGCAUCUGCAUGGAGGUGGGGAGAGUGCAGGGAGAGUGAAGGCUGCUAGCAUGCGUUAGCUGUGUUUGUGCUUGUGUGUCUACAGGAGAUGUGUGUAAUGAUAAUGUGUGUACAAGGAUGUCUAUGUGUGCACACAUAGGAGGUCUGCGUGAGUGACUGUGUGUGAGCCAACAGGUACAGUGUGUGUGUGUAUGUGUGUGUACAUGGGAAAUCAAUGUGGGUGACUGUGCCCAGAGCACAGAAUGGGUAGUGUGUGUGUGCACAUGCAUAUGUGUGUUCGUGUGUCAGGGACUGUGCGGGGCUUCUGCAGUGAUCGUGGCAUGACCUCAUGUGCAUCAGGAGUCACCACAGGGUGCCUUGGAAACGUGUUGGCUCUGAAGUUGGGAGAUGUUUCCACCUGUGACACAAAGAUGCAGGAAAUCCCUCUUUGCUGAGCAGAGUGGUGCCGUGUGACAUCUUUGUGAUGUGUGCUGAUGGGACCGUGACACGUGCAGUUGCCAAGGGGAGGAGAAAGCACCGUGUGAGAGCUGCACAGCCCGUUGUCCUGGGCUGCCCUUCUUACCCAGCCUGGAUUCGGAGGAGCAGCUUCCAGGCUGCCAGUCUGACAAUAAGGCUCCAAGCUGGGAGCUGCAGUUGAAAGCUUCUGUCCAGAAGGGAAACGUACUUGGAAUAAACCAUACAUUUCCCACUUCAUCUUUGCAGAGAUAUUUUAUAUUCCUCAGAUCCUCCGAAGCAGUGACCCCUGAGCAUUGUAAAGCCUGCCUUUCAGGAUGCAUCCUCUAGCUGAGCUUCAGGCUCCCUUUGAGCUCCUGACAUUUGGGGCAGCUCUCAGCCUUGUGCUAAGCCUGCCCCCAGGGCUGGUCCUUUUCCAAGAUAUCUGGUGCUGGGCUCUGGAUUCCAGCAGUGGGGGAUUAAAUUCCCAGUUUACUACUUAAUCCCCUCAUUUGGAAAUUGAAUAAUAACAGUUCCGAUCCUGGAGAAAGGUUCUGAAGAUUUGUUGAAAUGAUGUAUGGGAAAGUGAUCAGUCUCAUGCCUAGGACUUGCUAAGUGCUCAAAAUGUGAAUGUUUGAUGGUGAUAUCUAAGGAUGAUUACAACUGCCACAUGGAGGGGUAAAGACCUCCUUCAUCUGUUCCCCUCCUAACCUGUGCUCCUAUUUCCUUCCCAUAGGAGAAGGUCUACCUUGAGGUGACUGAGAGAAACAACUCCACAGGUGUGAGAAAAGCAAUACAUGGUUUCAGUUUGCUCAUGCUGCACUGACCAGGGUCAUUCUAAAUUCUAAAUUCCCCCUUUUUUUCCCCACUUCCUUUCUGCCUGCUGUGCAGGUUAGUUGUUCCCUGUCUCCUAGUGCCCCGUAAAACCUCCUCUUCCCAUCUCCCAGCUCAGGGGCUCUCACACACUUCUGUAUCGGGCUCUGGACUGUCUGUCUCACAUACAUAAGGCUGCUUAGCCUACUUUCAAAAACCAGACUUGAAAGAAUCCAAGCACACAAAGUCAGGUACUGUCUGUUCCCAGGCAUUUGUGGAGACCCAAAAGAAAGUGCUCAUGGUGACAUGGCCUGGAGGAGUGGUCUCCAGAAACCGGAACAGGGAGGGGAGGAGGAGAAGUCUAAUCAGAGGCGCUAAAACACAUGGAGACGGGAGGAAUUUGCGCUGGUUUUCUAUAGAAUAGUAGCAUAACUAUUGGUUAAAGCAACCUAUGAUAUAUUUCAAAAUGAUGAAAGAACACAGUUCCCCAGCAUAUAAAAAUGAUUAACGUUUUAAAAAAAUGAUUGAUGUUUAAUGAUUAAUCAAGGAAAUGAAAACUGAUUUGAUCACUGCUUGUUAUAAAUGUGUAUUGAAGUGUCUUACUGGACCCCAUAAAGAUGCAAAUAUUAUGUCUUGAUGUAAAGUUAAAAUAAUAAAAAUAAACCGAAAUGA